UUCGAAAUACCUUAGUUACCCGUUUUCCUAACCAAACCGCAAUAACGCAAUACAAAUCCGGUCAUCUAAACGACAUCACUUAGUUAUCAGAUUUAGGUCGUGAGUUGGCUCCUCCUCAUUUUCGCCGGCGGAAAUAUAGUUUGGCAAAAAAGGCAAUAGAAGAAGAGAAGGGAAAAAGAAAAAGGCGAAAAUGCCGAAGAGAACAACGCACACAUACUCAAGCGAAGACGCAGCGCCGGAUGGACCUGACUCUGAUCUUUUCGUCUACUAUUGCAAGCACUGCGGUUCCCACGUCCUUAUUACUGAUACCCAAUUGCAGAAAAUGCCCAAGAGAAAGACUGACAAAGCAUAUGUGCUAGACAAGAAAAAGCACCUUGCUAGGCUUAAUAUCAGCGAGGCGGGAAAAGUUCUCUUGAAGAGGGGAGAAGGGAAAUUGGAGAAGCAAUUCCGUAUGAAUUGUAUAGGUUGUGGCCUAUUUGUUUGCUAUCGGGCUGAAGAAGAUCUGGAAACUGCGUCUUUCAUUUAUGCUGUUGAUGGUGCCCUUAGUACAGUUGCAGCAGAAACCAACCCUCAGGAUGCUCCUGUGCCACCUUGCAUAUCCCAGUUAGAGGGAGGACUUGUUCAGGUGGCCAUAGAGGUGGAAGAUCGUGCACAGCGUUCAGCAAUUACAAGAGUAAAUGCAGAUGAUGUACGUGUUACUGUGGCUGCACCUGCAGCCCGUGGUGAAGCUAACAAUGAACUUUUGGAAUUCAUGGGAAAGGUGCUUGGACUGAGACUUAGCCAGAUGACUCUUCAGAGAGGAUGGAAUAACAAAUCAAAGCUUCUCGUGUGUUGAAUUGUCAUCGCUGUCCGGUAAAAAUUUCACCUUAAAUUCUAUCCUGGCAAAACGGUUGAGGAUUUGUCUGCCAGACAGGUGUAUGAGAAACUUCUAGAAGCUGUUCAACCUUGAUGCAUUUUGGUAAUAUCUUUGUGUUCAGAUUCUGUGGCAAAUCAUAGAAUCCAUUGUUUCUCGAGUCCUUUCAGUUGUAUCAUAGGUGUACACUGGAUUUUUCUUGGAUGAAUUGUCUUAACUUCAGACUAAAGUUUAUUUUUUCAGACCAUAGAUCUCUUUCAUUUGUCGAUGAUUACAACAUCGAGAUAAUUUGGAUAUGGGUAAUGUUAUAUCCAUAUAUAGGAAUCAUGCGUCAUUUUUAAACACAGCGAAAUAUUAAUUUGAAAAUUUAUUAGUUUUUUUUUUUUUUUAA